UCAAAGUUCCUUUCAACUUUGAAGAGAGAGUUCAAGAGGGCGUGAAACCGUUAAGAGGUAAACGGGUGGGGUCCGUGCGGUCCGCCCGGAGGAUUCAACCUGGCGGGAUUCAGGCAGUCGG